rnacentral:snRNA from 8 species
UAAAAUUGUAUCGAUACAGAGAAGAUUAGCAUGGCCCCUGCGAAAGGAUGACACGCAAAUCCGUGAAGCGCUCCUUAUUUUC